rnacentral:rRNA from 1 species
GACAGAGGGUGCAAACGUUGUUCGGAAUUAUUGGGCGUAAAGAGCUCGUAGGCGGUUUGUCGCGUCUGCUGUGAAAACUCAGGGCUUAACCCUGAGCCUGCAGUGGGUACGGGCAGACUAGAGUGUGGUAGGGGAGAUCGGAAUUCCUGGUGUAGCGGUGGAAUGCGCAGAUAUCAGGAGGAACACCGGUGGCGAAGGCGGAUCUCUGGGCCAUAACUGACGCUGAGGAGCGAAAGCAUGGGGAGCGAACAGG